rnacentral:rRNA from 1 species
GACGAACGCUGGCGGCGUGCUUAACACAUGCAAGUCGAGCGGUAAGGCCCUUUCGGGGGUACACGAGCGGCGAACGGGUGAGUAACACGUGGGUGACCUGCCCUCAGCUCUGGGAUAAGCCUGGGAAACCGGGUCUAAUACUGGAUAUGACUCCAUGACGCAUGUUGUGGGGUGGAAAGCCUUGUGCGGCUGAGGAUGGGCCCGCGGCCUAUCAGCUUGUUGGUGGGGUGAUGGCCUACCAAGGCGACGACGGGUAGCCGGCCUGAGAGGGCGACGGCCACACUGGGACUGAGACACGGCCCAGACUCCUACGGGAGGCAGCAGUGGGGAAUCUUGCGCAAUGGGCGAAAGCCUGACGCAGCGACGCCGCGUGAGGGAUGACGGCCU